CGGCGUGCUUAACACAUGCAAGGUCGAACGGGGUGGUCUCCGAGGAUUGACGUGCUUGCACUGAUGACUCGAUUGAAUCACGUUAGUGGCGGACGGGUGAGUAACGCGUGGGAAACCUGCCUCACACUGGGGGAUAGCAGUUGGAAACGACUGAUAAUACCGCAUAAGCGCACAGCACCGCAUGGUGCAGUGUGAAAAAACUCCGGUGGUGUGAGAUGGUCCCGCGUCUGGAUUAGCUAGUUGGUGAGGUAACGGCCCACCAAGGCGACGAUCAGUAGCCGGCCUGAGAGGGUGUGCGGCCACAUUGGGACUGAGACACGGCCCAAACUCCUACGGGAGGCAGCAGUGGGGAAUAUUGGACAAUGGGGGCAACCCUGAUCCAGCCGACGCCGCGUGAACGAAGAAGUAUCUCGGUAUGUAAAGUUCUAUCAGCAGGGAAGAUAAUGACGGUACCUGACUAAGAAGCACCGGCUAAAUACGUGCCAGCAGCUGC
rnacentral:rRNA from 1 species